rnacentral:lncRNA from 1 species
AUGAGGGAAAACACGUAUUUUGGCAUUUGGAUCCCGCACUGGAUCUUCUAAUCACUCAUUUUUCACACCGUCAUCCCCAAAACCAAGAUUUCCUGUGUAGAUCAUAUAUUCUUGAGUCAUGAACCUCUUAAGCAACUAAAUAACCCUGAUUUUCAUAGUCCAAGCUUGCAUCUUCGAUCUCUAAUCGCCACGAUCGCAAUCUUGGUUUUUUGACUGUCACCGCCACGUUUUACAAACCCUAGAUAUCAACACAGAUUCAGCAUUUGUUUGAAGGUUUAUCGGACCCGUUGAUUUUCUCUCACAUCUUAGUUCUUCCAGCCGUUUUACUCUUGGAUCGAAGAAAAAUUGGAAAAUGUUUCAGUCAUGCCAAAUCGAUAAGGAGCUAAUUGGUAGAAUAGUGGGCUAAUUGAAUCCACGAAGCUUACACUAACUGGCAUAAUCGACGGUACGAUGGUACAUGGAAGGAUGAAGGUGUUCUUCGAUUAACAAUCAGGUUUGAUGAGAAUGGGCCAAACAAGUAAAAUCUGGAAAUUAUGCUGAAAAUAAAAUGGGUUAAAAAGGUUCAAACAUCAAAAGCCUCCUAGCGUGUUCAAACGUAGACAUCAUUGAUGACACUAACACUUCUUUGGUCUAUUGGAUUCUAGGCAAUCAACGGAUGGAGAAGUUGCGAUCAUGAUACUCAUGGCUAUUCUUUCUUAAAUGCUAGCUGAGGGAAUACCAACAACAAUGAAUUGGCUUCUAUUGAGGGAAAAGAUUAUAGUGAAACAAGUGUUAAAUGUUUUGAAAACAGCAUGGCGUUUUCAUCACUUCCAUUGGCUAUUAAGUGGUGGAGAAAUGCUGCUAAACAGAACCGGUUGGCUUACGUGGUAUGGUAUUCAUUUAUCAAAGAUAAAAGAAGGCAUACAUUGAUUUAUGUGGUGUACAUGCGUCCUUUUUUCUUUCGUGAGCUCAUUUUGAAGUCUAUUAGUGGCAAUUUUGCUUAAAAUCUAACCAGUGGGAGAAAAAUAGAUAUAGCUAAUAUGCAUAUACGAUCAAUUGAGAUCGAAAUUGAAGUGUUUGGAGAUAAAAUUGACCUUGCGAGAGGAAACGGAGGAGGCGGUCAUGGUGGAGGAGAUGAUGCCUUUGGUUUGUACCGGAGAUAUUGUAUUGUUGGUACAAUAUUAUUUUAUAUGAUCAUGAUGUGAAAUUUCCUUAAAUUAAUUUUUUAAUGGUGAGUCUUUUGCAAAUAUAAUUAUGGUGGUGCAGUAUAAUACUCUAAUUCAUAGCCGAGAGCACCGGUCUAUGGUUGUACAACUGAUAAAACCGAAGAAAUACUGCUCGAUAGGAAUGAAAUUGCACAAGAACAUGGUUUCAUUUCGCUACAGUUCAAGCCCCACCAGACUGCCGUUGGAGCUGCAUGUCUUGCUGCAAGGGAGCAAAAGUUGUAGGUGGUAAGAGGAAUAACCUAGGGUUUAAUUUUUAUGAGCCUACAGUUAUAAGUGAUGUCAAGAAUGAGAUGCUCAUAUCAAGGGUUGGACUCUUACAGUAGCCGGGAUUACUAUAGCUCUUUGCGCUGCACCAUUCACUGCCUUCUUGAAUUCAAUCGCAAUUGCUGUUUGGCCUACUUAUGUAGCAGUCGCUAUCUCAGAGACUGUUCGGAAGGUUUGUUUAUCUAUUUCCUUGAAACUAUUGAUUCAUUUCCUUAACUUCGUUUUGUAGGUGGUAACAUAUUCUAUUCAAACUGAUUUUAACCCAUUUGGGUAAAUUCAUUGAUAAGGUGGUAACAUAUUAUAUUCAAACUGAUAGUGUGGAAUCUCAAAAUGUUUUGACUUCUGGACCAGAUAUGAAUAGGUUAUCAAGCACAUCUUCACUUCCUUCAGGUGAUGAUGAUCUGCGAAACGAUGUACAGUCAAUGAAAGUUCAACGAGCUCGUACUCCGCCCAUUGAUGCGGUUGCUCCUAUGACAAAGUCAAGAUUUUGUGCGUCAGGAGGUUGUACAAAUAGCUUAUAGAGGUUAUAUAUAUCAAAUCAUAUGCAUAUUAGCGGAUAUUAUAUAUAUCCGCAAGUUUAUAUAUAAUAUCCGCUAAUAAUGUAUAGGUUAUUUUUAUAUUUAAAUUUUGGGCACGUGAUGAUAGAAAGUUAGAAACAUAUGAGAAUUAUAAGAAUAGCUAUACAAGAAUAUUGAUGGUAGUAUCGGUUUCACUCCGAGGGAGGGUUUAGUAUUACAUUCGGUGGCAUAUGUUGAUGGUAGUAGAGGUCAAAGAUCAAUAGCUUAUAGAUUGAGCUUUGUGGAGAUGGUUGUGCCUUAUGGCGAUCCAAAUGAUCCACAUUACCGAAAGAAUGCAUUCGAUGCUGGUGAAGAUUGCCAUGGAAAAAAUGCUCAUUCACUAAAGAAGGGACGUGAUUGCUUAGAUAUAUCAAGUACUUUGAUGCACAUUUUACAAACUUCAUUGGGGGUGUUGAAACAAUUGAAAAUUGCGUAUGUAUGCAUGAAGAGGACCACGGAAUCCUCUGGAAGCAUCAAGAUUGGAGAACCAGCUUAGCUGAAGUCCGAAGAUCGCAACGAUUCACAGUUUCUUUUAUAUGCACUGUUGCAAACUAUGAAUAUGGUUUCUAUUGGCACUUUUACCAGGAUGGAAAGAUUGAAGCUGAAGUUAAACUCACUGGAAUUCUGAUCUUAGGGGCGUUGCAGCCAGGAGAAGUUAGAAAAUACGGCACCACUAUUGCACCAGGACUCUAUGUGUCGGUUCAUCAUCAUUUUUUGUUGCUCAUAUGGACAUGGCGGUUGAUUGUAAGCCUGGAGAAACACGCAAUCAGGUUGUUGAAGUUGAGGUUAAAGUUUAUUAUAUAUAUAGAUAGAUAUGACCUCAAGUUUCAAACUCCUGUUGACAAAUGGUGAACAAUUCAACAAAUUAACAGACUUUACAACAUCAAUCAACAGCUGCAGGACAAUUACGAUCUUUUUAGGCAGAUCAAGAACAAUAUUACUGCCAUCUUAAACGAGUGGAGGAGUCAACUGAUGUGGCGUGUUUUCUUCACAUCUGCAGUAGUGACGGUAGUAGUCCGUACUACUAUGGGGUGGUGUAAGAGUGGCAAGUGUGGGCAUUUCGGUUCUGGAGGUUCCAUCAUAAUAUUAGCGUUCUCUAUUCAGGUUCGGAUCUUCUGAUGGACAAUGAAGGAAAACUUAAAAAAUAAAGAAUUCUUGAUCAAUAUCGUAGCACAUUAGAGUCACUGAUAUGUAGUUGGGAUUGGCUUUUUGGAGAUUCAGGUUUGCCAACAAAAGAAAAGGAAGCAGUGGAUGCUAUUAUUGAAGAUGUUAUUUCUCAACACAAUGGUGGUGAAGAUGCAAUGGAAAUUGAAGAUUGAAAACCAGCACAUGUUAUUUUGUUGAAGUAGCUUCAUUUGUUUUUUUAAGUUUUAUCAUCUUUUGGUACUUUAAGUAUUUUGGAGAAUGUCUUUUGUUGUAAUUUAUAACUUUUGACAUCGUAUGAUUUGUUGGUUCAAAAGAACUUAUUGAAGGAU